rnacentral:rRNA from 1 species
UACGGGGGGGGCAAGCGUUGUUCGGAAUUACUGGGCGUAAAGGGCUCGUAGGCGGCCAACUAAGUCAGACGUGAAAUCCCUCAGCUUAACUGGGGAACUGCGUCUGAUACUGGAUGGCUUGGAUUCGGGAGAGGAAUGCGGAAUUCCAGGUGUAGCGGUGAAAUGCGUAGAUAUCUGGAGGAACACCGGUGGCGAAGGCGGCAUCCUGGACUACUACUGACGCUGAGGAGCGAAAGCCAGGGGAGCAAACGGG